rnacentral:rRNA from 1 species
CGGAGGGAUCAUUACCGAGUUUACAACUCCCCAAACCCAAUGUGAACCAUACCAAACUGUUGCCUCGGCGGGGUCACGCCCCGGGUGCGUCGCAGCCCCGGAACCAGGCGCCCGCCGGAGGGACCAACCAAACUCUUUACUGUAGUCCCCUCGCGGACGUUAUUUCUUACAGCUCUGAGCAAAAAAUUCAAAAUGAAUCAAAACUUUCAACAACGGAUCUCUUGGUUCUGGCAUCGAUGAAGAACGCAGCGAAAUGCGAUAAGUAAUGUGAAUUGCAGAAUUCAGUGAAUCAUCGAAUCUUUGAACGCACAUUGCGCCCGCCAGUAUUCUGGCGGGCAUGCCUGUCCGAGCGUCAUUUCAACCCUCGAACCCCUCCGGGGGGUCGGCGUUGGGGAUCGGGAACCCCUCAGACGGGAUCCCGGCCCCGAAAUACAGUGGCGGUCUCGCCGCAGCCUCUCCUGCGCAGUAGUUUGCACAACUCGCACCGGGAGCGCGGCGCGUCCACGUCCGUAAAACACCCAACUUUCUGAAAUGUUGACCUCGGAUCAGGUAGGAAUACCCGCUGAACUUAACUAAAAGGGGGG